GGGCCUGCUGUUGGUACAGCUGCUGGACUCUCAAUUCGGCUAGCGGGGGUUCGAUUCCCCUCAGGUCCA
rnacentral:tRNA from 1 species